rnacentral:rRNA from 1 species
GACGAACCGUCCAAACGUUAUUCGGAAUUACUGGGCUUAAAGGGUGCGUAGGCGGCGCGGAAAGUUGGGUGUGAAAUCCCUCGGCUCAACCGAGGAACUGCGCCCAAUACUACCGUGCUUGAGGGAGAUAGAGGUGAGCGGAACUUAGGGUGGAGCGGUGAAAUGCGUUGAUAUCCUAAGGAACACCGGUGGCGAAAGCGGCUCACUGGACUGGUAUUGACGCUGAGGUGCGAAAGCGUGGGGAGCAAACAGG